ensembl:lncRNA
UAAAAGCACUCAGCAGAAUGCCAGACGCUUGCUAGAUAUAUAGUACAUGGCAGUACAUUAUUGUUAUUACUACUGUUAUAACUCCUUAUGGAAUUUUCCAAGUCAUGAGUGUACUUUCCUCUUGCAGAUUAUCUGAGUAGGCUGAAUGAUCGGUGAAAAGGAGGCCAAGCAUCUCAAAAAUAGGACACCUGAGAGUAUGAAGCCAAUGUGACACUCAGGACCCAAAGAAGAACAUAUAUUCUGCAGUUGUCUCCAUAAAACUGAUUACAUGUGGUUAUGGUUAAGAGUAUGUCAUACAGAGCUGUACUGAAAUAUAUGUCCUGCUGCUUCCUAACUAGCUAUGUGAAAUUGGGUGCCUGCCCAUUCAACACUAUGAAAACUUCCACCUGCUGAUAAAGAAAGAAGCAGACAUCAAUGGAAAGACAGCAUCUUGCUCCCACUGUCUCCUCAAGCUCUUCCAGGCUAGAUAAAGCUCAGGCCUGACUACUCUGCCAGA